rnacentral:rRNA from 1 species
GACGGAGGAUGCAAGUGUUAUCCGGAAUCACUGGGCGUAAAGCGUCUGUAGGUGGUUUAGUAAGUCGACUGUUAAAUCUUGAGGCUUAACCUCAAAAUCGCAUUCGAAACUAUUAGACUUGAGUAUAGUAGAGGUAAAGGGAAUUUCCAGUGGAGCGGUGAAAUGCGUAGAUAUUGGAAAGAACACCGAUGGCGAAGGCACUUUACUGGGCUAUUACUGACACUCAGAGACGAAAGCUAGGGUAGCAAAUGGGAUUAGAUACCCCAGUAGUCCUAGCCGUAAACAAUGGAUACUAGAUGUUGGACAGAUCGACCUGUGCAGUAUUAAAGCUAACGCGUUAAGUAUCCCGC